rnacentral:rRNA from 1 species
GACAGAGGUUGCAAACGUUGUUCGGAAUCACUGGGCAUAAAGCGCACGUAGGCGGUCUGUUAAGUCAGGUGUGAAAGCCCCCGGCUCAACCGGGGAACAGCAUCUGAUACUGGCAGACUCGAGGAUGGUAGGGGUGAGUGGAACUCCAGGUGGAGCGGUGAAAUGCGUAGAUAUCUGGAGGAACACCGGUGGCGAAGGCGGCAUCCUGGACCAACACUGACACUGAGGAGCGAAAGCCAGGGGAGCAAACGGG